GUGUUGGUGGAACUCCUCAAACAAAAAGUUGUUGAUUUUACUCGAGCUGCCAGAAAAGCCCGUUUGAAAUCUUCCUUGAUUUGGUUGGCCAAAAAGAUGAAGAUGAUUCAGUACCUUGAAGACACAUACCCGAACAGUGCAUCUAUCCAAGAUUUAUUAGUGAAUUCAAAGGUGAAGCAAACAGACAUGUUUACAGCUGUGGUGAUGUUAAAUGAAAUGCAGAAGAGGGGCCUCAUCAAAGAGGUUGACAAAGGAAUGUGGAUGAGGGUUCCUAUCAGUCAGCAAAACAGCUCUAACA